rnacentral:rRNA from 1 species
AGUGAACGCUGGCGGUAGGCCUAACACAUGCAAGUCGAACGGCAGCACAGUAAGAGCUUGCUCUUACGGGUGGCGAGUGGCGGACGGGUGAGGAAUACAUCGGAAUCUACUUUUUCGUGGGGGAUAACGUAGGGAAACUUACGCUAAUACCGCAUACGACCUACGGGUGAAAGCAGGGGAUCUUCGGACCUUGCGCGAUUGAAUGAGCCGAUGUCGGAUUAGCUAGUUGGCGGGGUAAAGGCCCACCAAGGCGACGAUCCGUAGCUGGUCUGAGAGGAUGAUCAGCAACACUGGAACUGAGACACGGUCCAGACUCCUACGGGAGGCAGCAGUGGGGAAUAUUGGACAAUGGGCGCAAGCCUGCUCCAGCCAUACCGCGUGGGUGAAGAAGGCCUUCGGGUUUUAAAGCCCUUUUGUUGGGAAAGAAAAGCAGCAGGUUAAUACCCCGCUGUUCUGACGGUACCCAAAGAAUAAGCACCGGCUAACUUCGUG